GGCUACACACGUGCUACAAUGGGUAGUACAGAGAGUCGCAAAGCCGUGAGGUGGAGCUAAUCUCAGAAAACUAUUCUUAGUUCGGAUUGUACUCUGCAACUCGAGUACAUGAAGUUGGAAUCGCUAGUAAUCGCGAAUCAGCAAUGUCGCGGUGAAUACGUUCUUGGGUCUUGUACACACCGCCCGUCACACCACGAGAGUUGGUUGCACCUGAAGUAGCAGGCCUAACCGCAAGGAGGGAUGCUCCGAGGGUGUGAUUAGCGAUUGGGGUGAAGUCGUAACAAGGUAUCCGUACGGGAACGU
rnacentral:rRNA from 1 species